GUUUUCUCGUACUGAUUCACUUCUGUCUGCCUUCUGACUGUCCACCUGAGAAGUGUUGGUUGGCUAUAAAUAGGUAGUAGGUUGGGAAAAUCACAGAUGAAAUAGAAUAAUAUAUUCCAUUAUUGUUCUUGUAUAGUAACACCACAAUUCUUCAGCUCUCGUGUCACUGUGUAGGUCAAAAACAGCUCCUUAGGAGGACAUAUUCCCUCCUGAGUGCUAAACCAAUGCUUUAAAAGCCUUGCUCCUCCAAA